GACGAACGCUGGCGGCGCGCCUAACACAUGCAAGUCGAACGGGCGAGAGAGAGCUUGCUUUCUCAAGCGAGUGGCGAACGGGUGAGUAACGCGUGAGGAACCUGCCUCAAAGAGGGGGACAACAGUUGGAAACGACUGCUAAUACCGCAUAAGCCCACGACCCGGCAUCGGGUAGAGGGAAAAGGAGCAAUCCGCUUUGAGAUGGCCUCGCGUCCGAUUAGCUAGUUGGUGAGGUAACGGCCCACCAAGGCGACGAUCGGUAGCCGGACUGAGAGGUUGAACGGCCACAUUGGGACUGAGACACGGCCCAGACUCCUACGGGAGGCAGCAGUGGGGAAUAUUGCACAAUGGGGGAAACCCUGAUGCAGCGACGCCGCGUGGAGGAAGAAGGUCUUCGGAUUGUAAACUCCUGUUGUUGAGGAAGAUAAUGACGGUACUCAACAAGGAAGUGACGGCUAACUACGUG
rnacentral:rRNA from 1 species